AUUGAACGCUGGCGGCAGGCUUAACACAUGCAAGUCGAACGAGUGGCUGACGGGUGAGUAAUGCUUGGGAAUCUGGCUGAUGGAGGGGGAUAACUACGGGAAACUGUAGCUAAUACCGCGUACCAUAGGAUGAGCCCAAGUGGGAUUAGGUAGUUGGUGAGGUAACGGCUCACCAAGGCGACGAUCUCUAGCUGGUCUGAGAGGAUGACCGGCCACACGGGGACUGAGACACGGCCCAGCUCCCUACGGGGGGCAGCAGGGGGAAAUAUUGCGCAAUGGCGCCAACCUGUCGCACCCAGGCCGCUUGAAUGAGGAGGGCCUUCGGGUUGUAAAGUUCUUUCGGUAGCGAGGCGUUAACUACAGAAGAACCACCGCUUACCUCCGUGCCAGCGGCCGCGGUAAUC
rnacentral:rRNA from 1 species